CGCACGCGGACCGCGCUGCACCCAGGCGCUCGCCACCACCCCACCCCACCCCCCACGCCCACCCCGGGCGCGAGCGCGUCGAGCCCGGCCAGCAGGGCGCCUCCCGGGCCUGCAGGGGUCCGCCCGCCACCCCGCCUCGGCACGCACGCGCCGCGAAGCCGCCGGGGCCCCGGAACCGCCGCCUCCCUCGCCCAGGGGCGCGCCCCCUCCCCAGGAGGCCCGUCCGCGGGGCGCCGUCCACUCCACCCCGGGGGCUGCGGAGGCGCCCCGCUGCCACUCGGCGGCGCCUGUCGGGCUGCACGCCGCGCCGUCCCAGGGCAGGGAACACCCCGCCCUCGCACGGCCCCGGCUUCCCCGCGGCCCCUUGACACCGAGGCCUCUUCACGCGCGGCGCCGACCCGGGGCCGCCGGGUUCGCGACGGGCCUGCCAAUCAGAGGCGCUUUCCUCAGAGCGGCCAACCGACCAAUCACCGCGCGCCAGUGUCUUCGGCCCUUCGGCCCUUCGGCCCUUCGGCUCUUCGGCUCUUCGGCCCCUCGGCCCCUCGGCCCUUCGGCUCUUCGGCGCUCGCGGGGGCUGCGCCGGCCCUCCGCGGCCUUCCGCCGCGCUCUCUACAGCUCCGCUCGUCCGCGUUUAAUUUCCCCUUUUUCCUCAGACACUUCCGGGUCCGGCGUCGCUCCAGAAGCCCGCGCGUCCCGGAAGCCUGGGUAAUCCCGGUUCUGCUCGGAGAAGCCGAGCUUCCCGGAGAAUGUUUCAGAGAAAGUUACGUGGGCCGGGGGCGUUCCGCAGACUCGUCAGGUCAGUAAGUCUCACAUUGAGAUCACAUACACAGUGGAAUCACCUGGAGAUCUUGAAAACCAAGUAGGUCUUGUCUUCAGAGAUUCUGAUUUAAUUAGUGUGGUCGAGGCAUCAAAUUUUUUAGAAUCUCCUAGACAAUUCUCCUGAGCAGCCAGGGUUGAAAACUAGUGUUCUAGAUGAACAAAAGGGAAACAUUCUACUCCCUGAAUGUUCCUUUGAUUUUAUUAAGUCUCUUUAUUAUUUAUUACUUUAUUUGAUUGAAUACUUGGAUCAACUUUUAAUUUUUGAAAGUAGAUAUUUCUAUGUGUAUAUGGAUGUGCAAAUGGAAAGUCUUAUUCAACAAAUGUUUGACCACAUACAAAUUUUGAUUUCGAUUGCAUACAAAUAUUUGAUCUCGAUUGUAUACAAACAUUUGAUUUUGAUUUGUGCCAAAUUUAAAAUUUGACUUAAUAUACAGUUGAUGGAAAAAAAAUUUUUAAGUUGACACAGUGUUAUAUUAGUUUCAAGUAUAAAACAUAAUGAUUCAAAAAAUAAAAAUAAGUUAAAAAAUAAAAAAUAAAUACA
rnacentral:lncRNA from 12 species